UACGAGGGAGCAAGCGUUGUUCGGAUUUACUGGGCGUAAAGGGCGCGUAGGCGGCCACGACAAGUCACUUGUGAAAUCUCCGGGCUUAACUCGGAACGGUCAAGUGAUACUGUCGGGCUAGAGUACAGAAGGGGCAACUGGAAUUCUCGGUGUAGCGGUGAAAUGCGUAGAUAUCGAGAGGAACACCUGCGGCGAAGGCGGGUUGCUGGGCUGAUACUGACGCUGAUGCGCGAAAGCCAGGGGAGCGAACGGG
rnacentral:rRNA from 1 species